CAUGACAACAGAAGCCACAGAAAUACUCCUCAUCAAAAACAUGACUUUGAUCUCCGUCCUCAUCUGGACUCUCCUCUGCUGCUGCUUCACAGAGUCCAGAGGUCAGUACACAUUGACUCAGCCUGCAGCAGUGAGAUCUGCUCUGGGAGGAUCUGCAACUAUCAAUUGUAGAGUCAGUCAGAAUGUUCAUGGUGGGACCUACUUACACUGGUACCAACAGAGAGAUGGACAAACUCCUAAACUGCUCAUUUACAUUACUAAAACUCUAGCAUCAGGGAUUCCAGGUCGUUUUACAGGCAGUGGAUCAAACUCUGACUUCACUCUGACCAUCAGUGGAGUUCAGGCUGAAGAUGCAGCAGUUUAUUACUGUCAGAGUCUCCACAUUCCCAACAGUCAGUAUGUGUUCACACAGUGA